UACGUAGGGGGCAAGCGUUGUCCGGAAUCAUUGGGCGUAAAGCGGCGUGUAGGCGGCUCGAUAAGUCUGCUGUGAAAGUCCAGGGCUCAACCCUGGGAUGCCGGUGGAUACUGUCGGGCUCGAGUCCGGAAGAGGCGAGUGGAAUCCUGGUGUAGCGGUGAAAUGCGCAGAUAUCAGGAGGAACACCAAUGGCGAAGGCAGCUCGCUGGGACGUGACUGACGCUGAGACGCGAAAGCGUGGGGAGCAAACAGG
rnacentral:rRNA from 1 species